AGAGUUUGAUCCUGGCUCAGGAUGAACGCUGGCGGCGUGCUUAACACAUGCAAGUCGAACGAUUGAAGCUGGAGCUUGCUCCGGCCGAUUUAGUGGCGGACGGGUGAGUAACGCGUGGGUAACCUGCCUCAUACAGGGGGAUAGCAGCUGGAAACGGCUGGUAAUACCGCAUAAGCGCACAGUACCACAUGGUACAGUGUGAAAAACUCCGGUGGUAUGAGAUGGACCCGCGUCUGAUUAGCUAGUUGGUGAGGUAACGGCCCACCAAGGCGACGAUCAGUAGCCGGCCUGAGAGGGUGAACGGCCACAUUGGGACUGAGACACGGCCCAAACUCCUACGGGAGGCAGCAGUGGGGAAUAUUGCACAAUGGGGGAAACCCUGAUGCAGCGACGCCGCGUGAGCGAAGAAGUAUUUCGGUAUGUAAAGCUCUAUCAGCAGGGAAGAUAAUGACGGUACCUGACUAAGAAGCACCGGCUAAAUACGUGCCAGCAGCCGCGGUAAUACGUAUGGUGCAAGCGUUAUCCGGAUUUACUGGGUGUAAAGGGUGCGUAGGUGGCAAGGCAAGUCAGAUGUGAAAGCCCGGGGCUCAACCCCGGUAUUGCAUUUGAAACUGUUUAGCUAGAGUGCAGGAGAGGUAAGUGGAAUUCCUAGUGUAGCGGUGAAAUGCGUAGAUAUUAGGAGGAACACCAGUGGCGAAGGCGACUUACUGGACUGCUACUGACACUGAGGCACGAAAGCGUGGGGAGCAAACAGGAUUAGAUACCCUGGUAGUCCACGCCGUAAACG
rnacentral:rRNA from 1 species